ACCCGUCACCUGUAUCACAUCCGUCAACACAUAACUAGCAUCUCGGACCUUCAUCUACAACAGACCCUCGUGAUCACAACGAUACUAAGUAUGGCAGUACUACCGAACUAUCUGCACCAGUACUGGGGACAUCGGGGUUAUCUCGCCACUACCAGUAUUGAAGCAAUUACGAACAUCCUUCGUUCUUAGAUACUCAGAAAUCUGAAUGAUGGCAAUGUGCGCAAGAAUCCCCUGGAGCUCAACUUCCCGGAAGAAAUCAAAGCAGACAGGAGGCACCAAGACAGGACUUCGUCAUAUCAAAAUCAUAUAGAUUUCACAAAUACCCGCGUGGUCCUACAAAUUUUUUUUGAAUGAGAAGAGGAGUAGAAUAAGGAUUUCCUAAGUCGGGAACCUCACCAGAGCAUGGAAGGGGAGAAAAAAGAAUCCUACUCUCCGAUAUAACUAAGACUCAAAACAUUUUACUAGACUCGACUCGGCCAAGUAUGAUCACACAAAGGUUCCUAUGGUCGUAAGGCUCUAUUUACCAACUUGUAACGACUAAGAUGUGGCCCUUUCCAAUCUGGGGAUCGAAGCCCCGAAUUGGAAAGGAGCGCAUCUAAGCGUCUCGCAAACAAGGUAUCACAGCACAUACAUAAUAAUAACAGAUAGACAAUCAGGGGUUCAAUUGCCUUCUCAUAAAUAUAUCAGAGUACAUCACGCAUACAAUCAAAGUAGUUCCGCUACGGACUACAAAACAAGGCGAUUGGCUAUGCUACCCUGCCUGCUAGCCCACGAUCAUGACCACGCCUCAAUCUUCAGGAUAGUUCACGUACAGGCGGUCGUUCUCCUCGUCGUACUGCCAAGCCAGUUGCGUGCCGUCGGGAUCACCUGCCUCUAGGGUACCUGAACCUGUUGGUGUUGUGAAGGAAUCUGUGAGCCACGGGGACUCAGCAAUCUCUGACCUCGGUGCCAGAACUAGUCAAGUUAUUAGGUUGGAUAGGGUAGGGUGUUUAAGGUUGCAGCAUCCUAAGCUUGAUAUGGUGGCUAACUUACGUAGAACAUUUAUGAAGGUGGUCUAUGCAAGAGGUCGAUUAUACUUGAUCACUAAGUGAUCCUGAACACCUACCUACGUCAAUCAUAACCCCACCGUGUUCCCGAUCGAAGAGAGAUCUUCGAGGGGACAGUCACGGUUACCCACACAGUUGGCAAUUUUAUUAGCUUAUGUUUAAUUUAUCUAAUUCCGAAUGUUAACAAAAUAUUCCAAGUUGCCACAUAACCACGGGCACGGCUUUCCGAAAGAUUAAACCCUGCAGGGGUGCUCCAACUAGUCCAUCACAAACGUACACAGGCCGCAAAGUAAUCCUCUAUCACGAAUAUCGUGAUCUCAUCGGAUUCCUUAGAGGAAAACCUCAACUCUGGGGGAACCAAAGCUUCACCGGGAUUCCUAUACGCAAGAUAUAUCGCUAAGGUAAGACAAGACUAGCAGGACCUCCCGACGUGUCGACGACCCUGAUAAGAGCCGCGUAUCUCAGUCUCAGGACACGCCGGAUGAGUCACACUACAUGUAUACCAAACCUCAGGUUGCCCUGUGGUGGCCCCAUAGUCUGCCCAGUUUGGACCAACACUCAUGAGGAGCACUGGCCCGGGUUGUUGAUUAAAUUCCUCGGGUAGCUAUUCCCUAUGCAGAUUAUUAUUAAGUGAUUAGCAAAUUAACACCAAUGUUGGGGCCUGCCGGACAAGUCUUAACACUACGCGAUUUAUCGAGGGGGUCCCCAUAACAACCCCGAACGUGUUAGGAGCGAUCAAUAUGGAAUCAAACACCGGUAGCCGGUAACUAUGGCGACAAUAACGGAACAAAGCACCCGGAAAAAGGCUAGACCUUCCGUUAUUUACCAAGUAUAUAGGUGCAUUAAUUAAAUAACAGAAUUUAAGAUAAUGAUAUCAAGCUCAUGUUGUCACAUGAGACAAAGCACCUGCAUCUAGCAAUACUAACAUUAGUAGCUGAGCAAAGCCUACUUAGCCAUUCAAGUUUGCUAGGAAGGGAUCAGUGUUUGGGUUCAUGGCAUAACAAGAGGCAAAUAUUUCAGUGGUAGGCAGCAAGCAUAUGACAAGGAAACGUAAUCUAGCAUAACAAGUCUAGAGAUGGAAUCAAGGUCAUAUCAUCUUGCCUGUGAUAUCCUCAGCUUGGAAUGGUUCUUGUUCGUCCUGCACGUACUCUCCUGACUCCACGUAUUUGUUCUCCGAUCCCGGUGCUACCCAACAUAAGAAUAACAUCCAAUGAACAAUAGAACCUCAAUAUGCAAUAAGCACAUGAUGCAUGAGAUGAAUAUGAGCAUGCAUCACUAUUUCUAUCUCUAACACAAGCAUGAGAAGCAAAUACAUGUUCCUGGACAGAACUGCAUCCUAAGCUAUUUUGACAUGCAUGAGAAUGAAAUGAUCAGAUGCGUCUCGUGUAAACAAUGCAAAAGCAUAUAAAGAACUUUACAAGCGGAGCUACGGAUCAACGGGAAUCAACGAAACAAGAUAUGAAGCCCUACGUGACAAAAUCAUCACCACACACUCAAAUGGCACAACUCUGGUAUUUCCAGGUUGCCAAGACAUAAAACAAACCAACAUGGAAGGGAUGGAGCAAAGAAGAACACCACAUCAUCAACUAAGCACUCACAAACAUCAAAAUGCCAAAACUAUACAAUCUGCCAUAAACUGCAUCAUAGCACUUUGUGAGCUACAUGCAAAGCACCUACAGCCACCCAAAUAUGACAAAUAGUAUAUGUGGCUAUAGCUAUUCAAUAAUAAUACAAGCACAAGAAAGAAUCACACAAAAAGGAAUUAAACACAGAAAGUUACAAGGCUACAAACUUUCCCAAAAACAUCAGUUUUCAAGGACUUAGUGGAAAUUCCAGAUUCUCACUUUCUGUCUAUGCUCUGAAGCAUUUUGACAGCAGCCAAAACAAUACCUACAGGACUCCAAAUGAAAUUCAAUUUUACAGGGAGCUAUACAAACAAAUCAGGUCCAACUUUCUAGUUGAAAGCUAAGGCUAGAUCACAACACAUUGACCUGCACAACCUCAACAACAGGAGAAGAAAAUAUAAACAGAUUCUCAGACUUAGUGAAAAUCUCAGAUUUUCACAAAUCUGGAAUUUCAGCCACAUGCCUACUUUGAGUGGGCAUAACUUGCACAUAUGGAAUCCUAAUCGUGAGAUGAAACCAACAUGAGGUAGAGUGGGUCACCCUUCACUAGCACAACCAAGAAGCAAACCUUUGUGCUCAACAAAUCACAUGGAACCAAGCUCUAAACAUAGAAGAAAAUGAAAUAUGUCAUCUCCAGAAAAUGUUCCAAUGGCAAAACUGAGUUCACCAAUGGAUUAUGUUGGGGAUAUUAUCUAUUGGGUAACCUGCCCUAGUUGGGCCGGGUCACCUAAGCUGGCGACUCAUCUCCAAAUGGUUUUGGCCUUGGCCCAGCGAGGCCGGAACUCGUAUGGCAGUUCAGGACCUUCGGGAGGAGUCCAUAGUAGAGAAGGUCUCCAAGUCUUGGAAAGAUGGCGACUUAGUGAUGGGAAGAGUCACGAUNNNNNNNNNNNNNNNNNNNNNNNNNNNNNNNNNNNNNNNNNNNNNNNNNNNNNNNNNNNNNNNNNNNNNNNNNNNNNNNNNNNNNNNNNNNNNNNNNNNNNNNNNNNNNNNNNNNNNNNNNNNNNNNNNNNNNNNNNNNNNNNNNNNNNNNNNNNNNNNNNNNNNNNNNNNNNNNNNNNNNNNNNNNNNNNNNNNNNNNNNNNNNNNNNNNNNNNNNNNNNNNNNNNNNNNNNNNNNNNNNNNNNNNNNNNNNNNNNNNNNNNNNNNNNNNNNNNNNNNNNNNNNNNNNNNNNNNNNNNNNNNNNNNNNNNNNNNNNNNNNNNNNNNNNNNNNNNNNNNNNNNNNNNNNNNNNNNNNNNNNNNNNNNNNNNNNNNNNNNNNNNNNNNNNNNNNNNNNNNNNNNNNNNNNNNNNNNNNNNNNNNNNNNNNNNNNNNNNNNNNNNNNNNNNNNNNNNNNNNNNNNNNNNNNNNNCUGCCGUGACAAAACCACGACAGUUGGCGCCCACCGUGGGGCCUCCGCAUGGUGGAGUUGAGUUCUCAAAGGGAGCCCUACCAGGGUCCGGGAGCUACGCGGCGGGGCUCAUGACUCGGAGCCGCCGCGGGAAGUACUACAUCAACAACUUGCUAUGGGGGCCCGAGGUUACAGGGUCCCCUUCGGCAAGAUUAGCGUCUUCGUCGGCAUGAUUGGGUCGCCCAUGCCUGAGCCGGACUCCUCCUCCGACAUCAUCGAGACGGCCAGGUACGUCCGCCCUGUCAUGACGCCAAACCUAACCCGCCCGGUCUUUGUUGGGUUCACGCAGGGAUCUGAGGAACCAGAACAAUCAGCGACCUAGGAGACCACGCCGGUCAACACUGAUGACGAAUCGUCCAUGGGCGAUUCAGAUUCAAUCCAGUCUUUACACGGGGGCUACCUUGGGGGCUUGUCACUGGCCAUGGACCCCGAAGUUCUUGACCGGACUCGUCGUCAGAUCGUCGUUUACAUGACGGGGGCGACUUAACCCUCGCCAAACCCGGCAGACGGAGAUGGAACUGGCGAAACGUCUAGAAGCCCGGUCGCGAUCUUGGUGGAUUUACCAGCAGAAAUAACAAGGCUCAUGGCGACCCCCAUAACACCGGAAAACCAGGACGCGAUAAACACGGAACUGACGAAGCUAAGAGAAGGGGUGGCAAAGGCUCAGCGGGACGCCGAGGUGGAGGCCGCCAGGAUCGAGACCCGACAGUCUCAAAUUACCGCUGAGAUAGCUCGCUUGAAUACCGACAACUGGCGGCUCGAAAGGCAUCAACGCGCAUCUGACAUCGUCCAUCAGCGGAGGCAUCAGGGUCACUUGCCCCCUGAUCUCAACCCGACCCGCCUGUUCGACACUCCACGAACUCCCGGGGCAGGAGCCGCCCCGGGGGGAGGGCCAGGCCAGCCACCGAACCCGCCGCUUCAGCCAGCUGUGGAUCACGCUCCCCGAUUCCAGACACCUCAAGGUCACUUUUCCAACCCGGUGGACAACGUCCUCGCCGCAACUCGCCAUUUAGAGUCCCUUCCAAUUCACAGCAAUACUCCAUCCGAGAUAGAGGCAAGGAACGCCAUUGAGAUGUUGAAGACGGCGGUGGUUCAAAACGCCCAGUUCUCACACAGCCUAGAUCGGCUGCACUCCACUCCCCAGGCAAGCCACACCAGGAGUCGACCAGAGGACUAGCCCGCUAUAACCAGCGGACCGCGACCCUUUCCCCAGGUCAACUCGCCUGAUCAUCGAGACCCGCCAGGUCGGGAUCACCCGGACACCCAAGUCGCCCCGGCGCCUCUUGUUGGAAGCGGCAGACAAGUGGGGGUGUCGUGUUUGGCCCCCGCCCUUCGCAAUGAGCGAAUGCCCAAGGAUUUUAAAGGAGUGCCUAACUACACUCCGGACCUUGAGCCGGCGUCGUGGGUCGAGAGUUACGAAAUCGCCAUGGACAUGCUUGAUGUAAGCGAAGCAGUUUGCGCCAGAUACUUCACAAUGAUGCUCGAAGGGACGGCGCGUACUUGGUUAAAGAACUUGCCCCCCAACUCCAUCCAGACUUGGGCUGAAUUAAAAGAACGUUUCGUCAAAAACUUCCGAGGGACCUGCAAACGCCCGAUGACAAUAGUCGAUUUACAGCACUGUGUUCAACGCCCGGACGAGUCGGCCCACCACUGGGCGCGGCGGGUCGCGGAAAUCAUUCACUCGUCGGACGGUAUUACGGCGGCGCAGGCUGUGCUGAUCCUAGAGCAGAAUUGCCACUACGAGCCCUUGGUGCAGAAGUUGGGGCGACUCAAGCGAAAGGUCCAAGACAUGGGAGAGCUAAUGGACACCCUCACUAGGUACGCUGAGGUGGACGACACCAAAGAUCCCGAAGAGGAUGGUGGUAAAGCCAAUUCGCCAAGGAAAGGCGAGUCAUCCAAAAAUCACACCCGGUUCCAGGGACGCGCCCGCCAUAAUCAUGGAGCGAAUGGCAAGGGAAGGCAGUAGGAAGAGUCUCCGGACUUAGUCGCCAACACCAACAGCAAUAAUGGCAACCAGCGUUAGAAAAAGAAUAGGGGUACAGUGGCAAAAAUCCGCGCAACUAUAAUGAGUUACUCAAGGGCCCCUGCCCGCACCACGCCAUGGCAGACGGACCGACGACUCAUUCCUGGGAAGACUGUUACGUGAUGCGGGAGUUUCGGGCGGAGGCGAUCAAAAAAAAGCAAAGCGGUGACCCGGACCAACGGUAGGAACAGUUCGGCGCACCUAAUCAACGCCAGAACCCCUUCGGCGGCUUCCCCGAACCCGGGGCUCAGGGUGGCUCGCAGCCAAGCAACGGCCAGUGUCCGGUGCAAAACCAGCGACGGUAUAACCCGCCUGGAGUUUUUCAACAACCACCCCCAUAGGGGGCUUCGCAGGGGUAGGACGACAAUGGCGGCUUCCACAACAACCCCAAGCAGUUAAGCAAUCGGCAGCACCACGUUUUCACAACCAAUGCCUGCAGGCGUGAUAAAAAGGUGAGUCACCGAGCGUACAGUGUAUCUGAGCCGACACUCCCCCGAUACCUCCACUGGUCCGAGCAGACUAUAUCAUGGAGUAGGGAGGAUCGCCCACCAAGAGUUGACAAUCCCGACGAAUUAGCGUUGGUUGUGGCACCCCAAGUUGGAGGAUAUACUUUAUCGAAGGUACUGAUGGAUGGUGGCAGCAGCAUCAACAUAUUAUACUUCGACACCUUCCAAAGGAUGAACCUGUUGGAGAAACAUUUGAUGCCCUCAACCACGGUAUUCCACGGGAUUGUCCCAGGUAAAUCGGCUUAUCCCAUAGGCCGAGUUAGGCCCACAGUUGCGUUUGGAAUAGCGUCUAACUACAGGAGUGAGUCGCUUAUGUUCGAGGUGGUCAAGUUAAAGAGCCCCUAUCAUGCGCUGUUUGGGCGACCGGCUUACGCCCGGUUCAUGGCUCGCCCUUGCUAUGUUUACCUUAAACUCAAGAUGCCUGGUCCUAAAGGACCCAUCACGGUUGAUGGUGAUAGGAGGUUUGCAAGAGAGUGUGAAGAAGGGGAUGCGGCUUACGCAGAAGUCGCCUGUGCUGCGGAACAGCUUAAAUAUCACCAGGCCAAUGUUGAUCCGGCCGAUAUGUCACCUUUAAAGAAGCCAACAACAGACGCUGAGUCGCCCCUCAAUUUCAAGCCAACAAAUGACACUAAGACAGUGGAUUUCGUCCCUGGCGACUCAACCAAGCAGUUCACUAUUGGGACGAGUCUGGACCCCAAAUAAGAAAGCGCGCUCAUCAAAUUCAUCCGUGAGAAUCGGGACAUCUUCGCAUGGAAACCUUCUGACAUGCCUGGUGUGCCGAGAGAAUUUGCUGAGCACCAUCUUAAUGUUGACCCAAAAGCAAAACCGAUUCAGCAAUAUCUUCGUAGGUUCAAUGAGGAACAACACAAGGCAAUCGGGGAGGAAGUUGCCCGCCUCUUGGCCGCCUGAUUCAUCAUGGAGGUCUUCCACCCCAAAUGGUUGGCUAACCCGGUCCUUGUGCUCAAAAAGAACGGUACCUUCCGUAUGUGCAUUGAUUACACGGGUCUUAAUAGAGCUUGUCCAAAGGAUCCUUUCGCCCUUCCCCGCAUCGAUCAAAUUAUUGAUUCAGUGGCGGGAUGCGAGCGUUUGUGCUUCCUGGACGCUUAUUCCGGAUAUCACCAAAUCAAGAUGGCCGUGGAAGAUCAGGAGAAAACGGCUUUUAUAACCCCCUUCGGGGCUUUUUGCUAUGUGUCCAUGCCAUUCGGACUCAAGAGUGCAGGGGCGACUUAUCAGCUCUGCAUCCAAAAUUGUCUCCGUGGCCAAAUCGGGCGCAACGUCCAUGCCUAUGUUGAUGACAUUGUGGUUAAAACUCACAGGAAGGAAACGCUGUUGGGAGAUCUCAAGGAAACUUUUGAUAAUCUGCGGGUAUAUCAGAUGAAGCUUAAUCCCACCAAGUGUGUCUUUGGUGUUCCUGCAGGGAAAUUGUUGGGUUUCUUGGUGUCUGAGCGCGGCAUUGAAGCUAACCCAGACAAGAUCGAGGCGGUUACUUCCCUUGGGAAACCAGUGAAUAUUAAUCAAGUCCAACGGAUGGCGGGUCGUAUUGCGGCUUUGAGUCGCUUCAUAAGCCGUCUGGGAGAAAAAGCUAUUCCCCUUUAUCAAUUGCUUAGGAAAUCUGACCAUUUUGUUUGGACAGAUGAAGCCAAUGAAGCCUUCGAAGCCUUAAAACGGCAGCUGGUCAACCCGCCGGUCUUGUUCGCCCCGACUGAGAAAGAGCCCAUGCUUUUGUAUAUUGCGGCAAACUCCAAAGCGGUGAGUGUGGCGGUGGUCGUCAAAAGGAAGGAGGAAGGGAAGGAAUAUCCUAUGCAGCUCCCGGUGUAUUUCAUCAGCGAGGUGUUAACUCUUUCCAAGCAGCGAUACCCACACUGGCAGAAAUUAGUUUAUGGGGUCUUUAUGGCAAGCCGAAAGCUCAAACAUUAUUUCCAAGAGCAUCCCAUCACGGUGGUUAGCUCCGCUCCCCUCGGGGACAUCAUCCAGAAUCGGGAGGCGACAGGGCGAAUCGCCAAGUGGGCGAUCGAACUUGGGCCGCACCACGUGCGAUACACCCCUCGCACGGCUAUCAAGUCUCAGGCCUUGGUUGAUUUCGUCAAUGAUUGGACCAAGUUACAGAUCCCGGAAGACAGGCCUGACCUUACAUACUGGACUAUUUAUUUUGACGGAUCUAGACAGUUGGAAGGCUCGGGGGCUGGCGUGGUGCUGAUAUCGCCUCAAGGAGACAAAUUCUGCUAUGUCCUCCGACUCAUGUUUCCAUGUACCAACAACGCUGCGGAAUACGAAGCUUUGCUUCAUGGCUUGUGACUCGCCAAGGAGAUGAACCUUAUGCGGGUCAGAUGUUUUGGCGAUUCUGAUUUGGUGGCCCAGCAAGUUUCAGGUACUUGGGAUUCUCGGGACCCCUUGAUGGAGGCUUACAGGAGGGUUGUGUCUAAUGUGGUGGGUCACUUCCAUGGCUAUCAGGUCGAUCACAUCGACCGGCGCCUUAACGAAGCAGCUGAUGCCCUUUCACGUCUCGGUUCCUAGCGUAAGCCGGUUCCCCCCAAUGUUUUUCUAGAUACUCUGCAUAAUCCUUUCGUAAGGUUGCCCUCGGAGGAAGAGUUGGCAAUACCAGAUCCUGAGUCCCAGUUCGUGGCGGCUCUCCAUGUUACGCCGGAUUGGGUUCUUCCGUAUCUGGCCUAUCUCGCCCGAGGCGAGUUACCUACGGAUGAAGUGUUGGCUCGCCAAAUCGUUCGGCGAAGCAAAUCCAUGGUGAUCAUCAAUGGCGAAUUAUAUAAACGAAGCACUUCCGGGGUUUUCCAAAAAUGUGUUUCCUCCGAAGAAGGGUGCAUAAUUCUAAAUGACAUUCAUUCCGGAGAUUGUGGGCAUCACGCCGGGUCACGCUCCUUGGUUUCAAAGGCUUUCCGUCAUGGUUUCUUCUGGUUGACGGCCCAUGCAGAUGCAGAGGAGAUAGUUCGUCGAUGUGAUGGAUGCCAUCGUUACGGGCGACAGGCCCAUGUACCGGCUCAAGAACUAAGGAUGAUACCCAUCACUUGGUCUUUCGCGGUCUGGAGGUUAGACAUGGUUGGCCCCUUUAAGAUGUCGUCCAACAAGAAAACUCAUUUUCUGGUGGCGGUUGAUAAGUUCACCAAGUGGGUUGAAGCAGAACCUGUUGGAGCUUGCGAUGUGGAGACAGCAGUCAAAUUCUUGAAAAAAUUGAUCUUCCGGUUCGGAUAUCCACACAGCAUCAUACUGAUAAUGGCACUAAUCUAUCUCAAGGGGCGAUGCAGGAGUUUUUCCAUCGUGAGCACAUUCGGCUUGAUGUUUCUGCGGUAGCUCACCCGCAAUCUAAUGAACAGGCGAAGCGGGCGAAUCAGGAAGUUUUGUGAGGAAUAAAACCCCGACUCAUGAUUCCCUUGGAACGUACCCCGGGGUGUUGGGUUGAGGAGUUGCCUUCAGUACUAUGGAGCAUCCGGACCACCCCGAACCGUUCUACGUGUUUUACUCCCUUCUUUCUGGUAUAUGGAGCAGAAGUCGUUCUUCCCACUGACAUUAGGCAUGACUCGCCCAGAGUUGCCGCUUAUGUGGAACAGGACUACGAGCUGGCGCGUCAAGACUCUUUGGACGCCUUGGAGGAAGCACGUGAUUUGGCUGCAGCCCGAUCGGCCAUUUAUCAGCAGGACUUACGGCGUUAUAACAGCCGCCGGGUCAAGAGCCAAACUUUUCAGGAGGGCGACUUAGUACUUCGACUGGUACAAGAUCGUACUGGCAUGCAUAAGUUAUCACCACCAUGGGAAGGACCGUUCGUCAUCAGCAAAAACCUUCACAACGGGUCCUACUAUCUGGUGGAUCUACAGCCUGAUCGGCCAACCACGGAGGCUGAGUCAACUCGCCCCUGGAACAUAGCCCACUUGCGGCCUUAUUACACUUGAGCUAUUAGCUCUACGUUUUGUAAGUUUUUCAUUUCUUAUAAAGAAAUAAAAUUAACGCCUCCCGACUUGGGGGCUUUCCUGCUAAUUCAUCUUAUUAAAAGGUAUGGAUCUUUAUUUUUUCAUCAACAAGUCGCCCAAGCAUGGACGCUAUCCAUACCAAAGAGCUUAAGUCGCCACGAUGCGCUUAUUACAAAACUGGGUAUCGAUAAGCCAAAGAGGAUCGAAGUCGCCACAAGCGCGUGAUUCAAACAUAUGCGCCUUAUAUGAUUAUGUGGAUUAGGCCGGCUUACUUGAGGGCACUUUGUUCUCAAGUCGUUUUGUGGUCAUAGCGUAUACGCUUCUACAAUCCUAUGACGGUCUUUCCCUUAAUCAUAGGUCACAUGGGGGCUUCCUCUCACUGAGAUCAGCCUUACUACCCAUUUGGCCUGCGAACAAUUACCGCAUUACAAAUGGUUAUACUGGACUGUGUGUUGGCCGAAUCGCCAUAUGGACCCGUGAACUAUUGGCGAGUUAUUCCGCUCAUGGACCUUGAACUCGCCUUGGUUAAAACAUGUCUGGUACCGGCUAGCGCCUCACAUGGAAAAUAGAGAAACCAUUGGUUCAUUGAACCCACUUCACUGAAGCUUGACUCGUGCCUGAUCAGCCGGUCUAAAUACUUGAGCUUUUGAUACAAAAGUCUCCCUCGGGUAGCACUUGAGUUUAUUUAACUUGUCCUAUCCUGUCGCGACCUGAUGAGCCGACGAAAUUGCUAUUUUUUACCUUCCUGGCACUGCCACAAGGUCUUUCAGACUUUUUUUCUGACUCGCCUCAAAUAUCUUGGGCCGAUUGUUAUUUAUUAUCAUCCAUUACUCACUGAGAUGGUUUGAUAUAUGUUUUCAAGCUUAACAGGUUGAUGAUCAAAAUCAUUCUAGCCAUGGCGGGUCAAGCAUCAUAAAAACGCCUCAAUGGCGGGUCAAGCAUCAUAAAAACGCCUCAACGGCGGGUCAAGCAUUUAAAAAAACUCUUUAAGGGCGACAUAAGGAUUUUUCAAGAUAUCACAGAAGCAGUUUGAUCUCUAAAAAGACUUAUUACAUGGCUCUUAUGGCCAAAUCUAUCAACUUUUUUUCUGCUGAUGUCCUUGGAUCAGCCUGCUGCGAGCUUUGGCCGACUUCAAUUUGCAAGUCGCCCAGUACCCAAUUACACUUGGAUAACACGGUGAACUCAUCUUCAUCGUCCAUCACUGAUGAGAGAUCCACCUCCAAGUCAAAAGGAUUCUUGGGUCGACGCGGAGUUAAGCUGGUUGUUACAAAGGUUGGUGGGUUAACUUUCUUGUUCUUGUUGUCAUAGGCGGCUUGGUAUUUUGAUAAAUCCAAGCUUGCAGCAAGCUGAGUCGCUGCCAAACGGGAUUCUUUGACAACACGCUGGUAAUCUUCUUCAGCAAAUUCUGACCCGUCAUCCUUGAGCUGGGGAAAGCCCGCCGCUACUUCUUCCGGGUUUAUUUCUGGAGCAUACGCCAAACGCCGACUCAACGUAGUCAGUGCUCCUUUUCGGGCGGCUGACCGAGUUAGCUCACCAAUUUGAGGAGGAAGAGUAGAUAAGCAGCCUAACAUCUUCUUUAUUGAUGUUAUGGGUUCCUUGGCACCCAUCAGUGCUUUCACGGUCAGCACACUUCCGGUAUACAGUUGCUCCGUCAGCGUAUAAAUCGCUUUUAGCAUCAGGACACAGUCAUCCUGAAGAUUGGCGACUCUCGGACCUGUGUAAGAGGUAAUGAUGGUCAGCGAUUUCUACAAGCUAUUUAUUUACAAAGUGCAAGGUCAAGGGUUUGGUUUUUACCAAAGACGGCUUGCGCCAUGUUGGAGAUAUGUCGCUUUAAGCCGGCCAGCUCUUGUUGCACAGUAUCCAAUUUAGCUUCAGCUUUUUCUGCUCGCUUUAUUAAGGCAUCUUGAUCAGCUUGAGCCUUUUUUAAGUUGGCUUUUAGCUUCUCCAUCUCAGACAAGAUCAGUUGACUCUUCUCUUCUGAUUUCGCCCGGGCAUCCUGCUGAUCGGUUAAAUUUUUCUUCAAGUCGCCAAAUGCUGAUUCAGUUUGGGCAAGUGAUUCCUGUUGAAAUAUAUAGUCAAGGGGCAAGUCUCAGAAUUAUUGCAAGCAACAUCCCUGACACUUGGGGGCUAAUGUAUAAAUUUUUAAGACAAAUUAUACAGUCUCAAGACCCGGCUCAUCUUUUUAUAGAUGACCCGGCCCUUGGGGGUUACAGGUCGAGAGUUUUCUUCUAUUAUCAAGACCCGGAUCAUCCUUUUACAAAUGACCCGACCCUUGGGGGUUACAGGUCGAAAGUUUUCUUCUAUUAUCAAGACCCGGCUCAUCUUUUUAUAGAUGACCCGGCCCUUGGGGGUUACAGGUCGAAAGUUUUUCUUCAAUUAUCAAGACCCGGCUCAUCUUUUUACUGAUGACCCGGCCCUUGGGGGUUAAUGAGGAUAAUAUAGUGUGCAAUAAGACAUGCCUCAUGUUUGUUCUUCAGCAAUCGAAGCAGACUUUUUUCCAUCUCAUAACUCGCCUCUAGGCGACUUGCAAAGCCAGAGCAAAGUUCUUUGAAGUCAAGAUUCUCAUACUGGGAGAGCUUAGCCUUGGAAAGUUCAUGCUCAAAAACAGUUUGAGCUGAUGAUGAUACAUGCUUCGAUAAAACUUUUGUGGCCGGCUUACAGAAGCGAGUACCGGUGAUAACUACAACGUCUGGGUCUUCUGCUGUUCUCAAUGGACUUGGCGGCUUAGGCGUUUCCAUGGUUUCCUUGGGCGAGCUGGGGAGAUCCACUUGAUCUUCAGGUUUGUCUUGGUCCGGGUUAUCCUGGAUCGGCGCCGAUUUUUCAAUAGGCUCUGAAGCUGUAAUGGGAGUUGACCCGCCAGUUUUCCUUUUCUUCACCUGCGCCCUAAGAGGAGAAGGGGGUGCGUUUAAAAGAACAGAUAUUACCACCAUCAGAACAAAGGUAAAUGUUGUCAAAAGGCUUACCCAGGGACACGGAUCAUCGGUGGAAGUGCCGACAUCACUGAGUCGCCGGAUGUGGGAGGAGAACUCUGCAAAAGUAAUACUUCAAAUAUAUGAGCGAGUUGCAAACGUGAUCCAAAAGGACAUGAAGAAGUGUCAUUAAAAGAUACCUCAUUUUGCCUCUUCUUGGUUCUUGUUGGUAACCCGGACACCAAGUCUCCAGAAUGACUCCGAGUUUUCCGAUUUGAAGUAUGUUGCGCUUUCUUCAAAAGGAAAUUUGGAUCCAAACAAGCAUUUGGGUGUGAGAAGGGAACUUUCCCACAAAUUCGCCUGGCCGGCUUAGGUGGAGGAGAAGAUGAGUCGGAGGAAACAGAAAUUACCUCUACGGAGUCUUCCUGGCUUUCAUUGUCCUCAUUCUACACAAGAGAUACAGAGGUGUAAACACAAAACUAUCGGUAAUGGAUGGCGAGUUAAAGAGGAUGGAUUUUUUACCUCUGAAAGUAUGUCGCCGACUUGGGAUUCAUCGGCUUCAGAUGGCUCAAUGACGGCGGCUUUGCCCUUUCCCUUGGACUUCUUCUUUGGAGGCGGCCUAGCUUGCUUAUGGCCAUCUUUUUUGGCCUCUUGGACCAGAAUUUAUCACCUUUCUGAAAUGGCAUAUUUUAUAAGAGGUCAUAGUUCAAGUAAGACGGAAAGAAUAAAGCAAAAAUGGGUUAAGUUAUUUACCUUUGGUGUCGGGUUGAUCUUGCAGAAUGGCUUAAGACCUAUCUGGCCGCAUUUUGCCGCGGGUUCGCCGGUCAACUUCUUGAUGAUGGUUACAAUAUCACUUUCUGUUAGAGCCGUGUGGAAGUAGCACUGUGGGUGAUCCAGGGUGCUGUCAAAAUCACACAUUAAUCCGUCCCGACGACUUAAGGGGAGGAUACGCCAUUCCACCCAGCAGCAGAUCAAGUCAACCCCAGUAAGGCCGUUGUUUGUCAAAGAUCUUAACUCGGACAAUACUGGGAUAAAGUCUGAAUCCUCUUCUUCGGUGAGCUUGUCUGGGAGUUUGAAAUUUGUUGCAAGCCGAUCUUCCCUAUAACCGAGAAGCUUGUUCUUGCCCUCACGCGAAGUCUCCCGGCAGUAAAACCAAGACUCGCCCCAGCCUUUGGGAUGGCUUGGCAUGGCGAGUGACGGGAAUGAACUAUCCCUACGGCGUUGAACAUUGACACCUCCAAGCUCUAAGCUAGGGCCAUUGUGAAAUUCUGUUUGGCGAUUCAAAUGGAAGAAGUACCAGAAUAAAGGAACUGAGGGUUCCAAUCGCAAGUAGGCCUCACAGAACACUUGGAACUGGCAUAAAUUGCUUAUCGAGUUGGGCCCUAAAUCUUGGAGGCGGACAUUCAUAAAGGUCAUGGCGUCUCUGAGGAAUUUUCGAUCCAGGCGGCUUAAAUCCCCGUUCAAGGUGUUCAACAAAAACAACUAUAUCCCCUUCCUUCGGGUUGGGGAUUUCCUCUCCUAACCCGGUACACCAACCGAUGACCUCUUGAGGGUCCAGAUUCCCUGUUUUUACAUAGUUGUUAAGGAGAGCAUCGUCAACCUUGGUUGGGAGCCAAUCACUUUUGAAAACGGUGCCCAUGCUACAAAGGGAUAAAAUUACGGGUAAAUUAACACGCCAAGCAUCUACUAAAAAUGGUGAAACAAGUUCAUUUGACUCGCCAAACAAUUUGCCUGAUGGCUGAGGGAGUUUUUUGACCUGCCGAUAAAGGUCCGGGUCAGGUUGCCAGGGCGACUUAUGAAACUUUUACUACUUAAAGGAGAGGUGUUUCAGAGCUUCAGUAGUAUUUGCCAAGAUGGUGAAGUACGAGAUUAUAAACAGGUUUCACUCGACAAGCGAUAAAUUAUGGAUCUACUGGACAGACAGAAAUGAAUGUGAAAAGGUCUGGAUAAAACGGCCUGUGACUAAGGUGGGAACAGUAGUGUUGAUCUGGUGAAAUCUUUACUAAGUAUGCAAAUCAAGGCCGAACAACUAAAGGUAUGGAAAACAUUGUUGUAUUCGCUACCAUCACCGCCCUAAUCGGGGAUUACGAAGCCGUCCGAGAUGUUCCAAGAACACAGUGGGCAUGAACCUCGAGAAACUUGGAUCUGCCUUCAAUGGGAGGAUGCUGACCUGGUAAAUGCGGCUGGAGGUGUACGAAGAGGGAUUCGCCGCGAGCGUUGCGCGGACGGCGGCAAAGAUCUCGGACGGUCGCGAAGAUCUCGGGCGGCGACGAGGUGCUCGACGGCGACAAGGUGCUCGACGGCGGCGAGGCGUUCAACGGCGACGAAAUGCUCGGCCACGACGAGGUGUUCGGCGGCGACGAAGUUGUCGAACAACGUCGAAGUCUUCGGGUGGCGGCGGAGCUCUCGGGUGGCGAUGAGGCUCUCGGUGCAACGGCGAGGAAGAGAAGGGCGACAAGAUGGGUAGGUGAAAUGUGCCCUAUCCCUUCCUCCCACCUAUUUAUCAGGUCAGGCGCUAAGAUCGAGGCGCCACGAGCGGGAACUGCCAAAAGAUAAAGAUUCGCCAUGAUGGCGCCCCGAAAUUUUUGGGAUAACGAUACCGAAGGAUCCGUUGGAGAUUACGUCAUCAUCUCUUCCGAGAUUCAAGGGAUAAGAAGGCGCCAACAAGAAGUGGUUUGGUGACUUGAGUUUUUCCGCAGCAGAUGGCGAUUUAAGUGUAUGGUGCAUAAGAAGAGUGAGAUGAAUCGCCCCUAACUGAAUAAGGAUAUUGGCAUGAAAGAAAUUCAAGUCAAUCUGGGGCCUAAUGUUGGGGAUAUUAUCUGUUGGGUAACCCGCCCUAGUUGGGUCGGGUCACCUAAGCUGGCAACUCAUCUCCAAAUGGUUUUGGCCUUGGCCCAGCGAGGCCGGAAGUCGCAUGGCGGUUCAGGACCUUCGGGAGGAGUCCAUAGUAGAGAAGGUCUCCAAGUCUUGGAAAGAUGGCGACUUAGAGAUGGGAAGAGUCACGAUUUGUGUAAAGGAAAGGACCCUUGUAAACCCUAAGGACUCGACCUGUAUAUAAAGGCGAGUCCCAGGGAAGGAGAGGGCAGGUUAGAAAUCAUCGAGUGCUAGGUCAGGCGAGUUANNNNNNNNNNNNNNNNNNNNNNNNNNNNNNNNNNNNNNNNNNNNNNNNNNNNNNNNNNNNNNNNNNNNNNNNNNNNNNNNNNNNNNNNNNNNNNNNNNNNNNNNNNNNNNNNNNNNNNNNNNNNNNNNNNNNNNNNNNNNNNNNNNNNNNNNNNNNNNNNNNNNNNNNNNNNNNNNNNNNNNNNNNNNNNNNNNNNNNNNNNNNNNNNNNNNNNNNNNNNNNNNNNNNNNNNNNNNNNNNNNNNNNNNNNNNNNNNNNNNNNNNNNNNNNNNNNNNNNNNNNNNNNNNNNNNNNNNNNNNNNNNNNNNNNNNNNNNNNNNNNNNNNNNNNNNNNNNNNNNNNNNNNNNNNNNNNNNNNNNNNNNNNNNNNNNNNNNNNNNNNNNNNNNNNNNNNNNNNNNNNNNNNNNNNNNNNNNNNNNNGAGGGGCCGAACCUGGGUAAAUCUCUGUCUCGCUCCCGUUCAACCCCUUUGAGUCGCCACCAAGGUGCGAUGGCUCCAACACUAAGUCCUUUCACGAGGACAUCUGCCGUGACAAAACCANNNNNNNNNNNNNNNNNNNNNNNNNNNNNNNNNNNNNNNNNNNNNNNNNNNGAUUAGGCACAAGUGGAGCAUGGCAAAGCAAAAGAAAUAAAAUAAGAGAGAAGUGGAAAAAUGCAAGUGACAGUUCUAGGAAUCGAACCCAGGGCCUCUGUCACGCCACUUGACCGCGCUACCACCACACCACUGCCACUGGUUCGAUAGAGUAUGGUGGUUAACCAAGGUAACUAGGCACCUUGCUACUGUGCCGAGGCAAAAUAAGGAAAAAAGGAUGCCGAGGGGGGGACUCGAACCCACGCCCUCCCGACAGGCAUCGGAACAAGCUACCACUGGGCUACGAAUCGGUUACUGCUAGAAAGGGGGGAUCUACUCAGUUAAGCUAUCCCUAGCCCAUCUACCUGUGCUCUACACACCGGCGACACAGAAGGUGCCGGAGCAGAACAACUGCUACUGCUUCCCACGAGGGGAGCCACCACUACAACGACGAUGCAUGAAGAGUAGGAGUUCCUGCUACCCCACACACCACCACGAACCGCGCGUGACAAAGAAACACACACACACACAUACAUAUCAAAGUUGCUGCUCUGCUCUGCUCGACAGAGAGCAUGGCGACAGGGAAGGUCGCUGGCAUGUUCUACUGCUACUGCUGCGCCACAAAGAGAUGCACUAUGCUACUGCUGCAAGGAGGCCCAUGUCACGCCCAAGAUGCGACCCUAUCCUCAAUUUGGCACGAAGGCCUCGUCAGGGAUAGAAGCACAUCUCGUCGUGUCGCAAGAAUGGAUAUCAUUACAAGUACAUGUACUGAAAAGAAGAGAUAUAUAUACAGAGCUGGCUUACACUCGCCACAAGCUACAUCAGAGUCACAUCAGUACAUUACACAAUCAUCAAGAGUAAGAGCAGGGUCCGACUACGGACGAAAUCAAACGAGAAAAAUAAGAACGACGUCCAUCCUUGCUAUCCCAGGCUGCCGGCCUGGAACCCAUUCUAGAUCGAUGAAGAAGAGGAAGAAGAAGAAGAAGAAUCAACUCCAAAUGAACAAUCAACGCGCUCGCGUCGAGUAACCUUUACGUGUACCUGCAACUGGUGUUGUAGUAAUCUGUGAGCCAUAGGGGACUCAGCAAUUUCAUUUCCAAAGGUAUCAAGACUAGCAAAGCUUAAUGGGUGAGGCAAGGUUAAGUGGUGAGGUAGCGGCAGCGGCUAAACAUGUAUUAGGUGGCUAACUUACGAGUACCAGAAAUAAGAGGGGGAAGAUCUACGCAUAACGGACGUGAACUACUGGUGAUCAAAUNNNNNNNNNNNNNNNNNNNNNNNNNNNNNNNNNNNNNNNNNNNNNNNNNNNNNNNNNNNNNNNNNNNNNNNNNNNNNNNNNNNNNNNNNNNNNNNNNNNNNNNNNNNNNNNNNNNNNNNNNNNNNNNNNNNNNNNNNNNNNNNNNNNNNNNNNNNNNNNNNNNNNNNNNNNNNNNNNNNNNNNNNNNNNNNNNNNNNNNNNNNNNNNNNNNNNNNNNNNNNNNNNNNNNNNNNNNNNNNNNNNNNNNNNNNNNNNNNNNNNNNNNNNNNNNNNNNNNNNNNNNNNNNNNNNNNNNNNNNNNNNNNNNNNNNNNNNNNNNNNNNNNNNNNNNNNNNNNNNNNNNNNNNNNNNNNNNNNNNNNNNNNNNNNNNNNNNNNNNNNNNNNNNNNNNNNNNNNNNNNNNNNNNNNNNNNNNNNNNNNNNNNNNNNNNNNNNNNNNNNNNNNNNNNNNNNNNNNNNNNNNNNNNNNNNNNNNNNNNNNNNNNNNNNNNNNNNNAUCCAGCAAGGCCGCCCGGCGUGUCGACGAUCCCGAUAGGAGCCGCGUAUCUCGUUCUCAGGACACGACGGAUAAGCAUAGCGUACGGUGGCCUGAUAGAAAUCUCCCGAGUUGCCCCGGGUUGGCCCCGCAAACGGCUCUAGUUUUGGACCAGCACCAACAGCACUGCCCCCCCUGUAUUAUGUAGAAUUACUCCUCGGGUAGCGCUAACUCCCUAUGCAUUUCAAUAGUAUCAAGUUAUUAUGUUGGGCAAAUGUAGUACCAAUGUUGGGCCUUGCCAGACCAGCUUUAAUCUAAAACGAAUUAUCAAGGGGGUCCCCAUAACAACCCCGAUCGUGUUAGGAGCGCUCAUUUAUGGAACAUAACACCGGUAGCCGAAACUAAGGGGGCAAAGGUGGAACAAAACACCAGGCUAGAAAGGCCGAGCCUUCCACCUUUUACCAAGUAUAUAGGUGCAUUAAAUUAAAUAGCAUCUAAUAUGGUGAUAUAACAAGGAACCCAUGUUUUCACAUGGAAGCAUCUGCACCUGCAACUAGCAACGCUAACAACAUGGUUAAGCAAGCAGUAACAUAGCCAAUCAGUGGUUGCUAGGUCGAACAGGUUGAAGGUAUUCAUGGCAUUGUUGAGAGGCUGAUAUUUAACAUGUGGUAGGCAACGAGACAUAAUCGAUAGAAGCGAUAAAACUAGCAUGGCAAUGAUAGUAAUGGUAUCUGGGGAAAUGAUCAUCUUGCCUGAGAUCCCGCUUGGAAGAAGAAUGCCUCCGUGAAGCAGACGAACCGACGUAGUCGAACGGGUCCUCACAAUCCGGCACGCUUGCGGAACUCUGUCGAGACGGAGGAAACCGGAAACAAGCACCAUCACACGAUAUACACCACACGAUACAAGACACACAUGAUGCAUGAACGGUCUAAUGCACGGCAUGGCAAUCACAACAAUCAAACACUACACAUUAAGUGAAGCUCGUUAUGCAACGAGUUGUAUAUCGAUGAAGCUCCACGUUUAAUUAUUUAGUUCAUUCCCGUUUAUUAACACAACAAUAUUAAAAAGUUGUUAACAUGACACGGGGUGAAGCACAAAUUAAUCUACCUAGCUAGGCAUUUUAAAUGAGACCGGAAACGGCAUAUAGCAUCUCCGAAAUGACCCCACGUGUUAAAACUUAAUUCUGUCCAGAUUUGUCCUAAUCACAUUUUAGGUUUGUUAAACAACAAAACAAAGUGGAGCAUGAGAUUCUACACGUCGUUCUACUCGAUUUACAUAUACAGAACAUCUCCAACGGAGCUACGGUUAAAUAACUACGACCUAAACCGUUUUCAACACGUUGACACGCAAACCGACACAAACAGCAUGCUAACUGCCUUAAACAUGCAUGAGAGUUGGAAAUUGUUAAUCUACGCAAAAUUCUAGUCAAGUUUCAUAUAUAACUUGUCUCGAUCCGAUGCACGGUUUAAAAGCUACAGGUGUCUCGAUCCGAUGCACGGUUUAAAAGCUACGGGUGUUAGAAAAUCGAUGUUUAUUUUCUGAAAUUCACAAAAUCCUAGUGCAGAAAAAAGGAGAAACAAAAAAAGGGCAAGCUGGGAUUCGAUCCCAGGUGCCCUUGUAUAAGAGUUGGCUGCGCUAGCCACCUUUGCUAGCAAUGUGUUCUGAUAUAGCACAGGAUUCUUUCCAAAAGAAGUAGCAGCACCAUGGCGCAUGCACAUCAACAAGAAAAACAGAGCAAAAAUAUAUAGCCACUGGUGGGAUUCAAACCCCAGACCUAAGCGUCUUGCUUCACAUGGUUUACCAGCUGGGCCAGGAGGAUGGGACAGAUCAGGCCUAGGGUUUACGACAUAUAGAUAACAUGUUUGGAUGGGUUAGACCCUCCGAUCUUCAUCGGACGGUCGGGAUUAAAUAGGUUAGGACGUCCAAUGGACAAACCGAUGACGGUUUGCGGUAUAACGGGGUUGAUCCGGACCCAACGGUUACGACCGUGUGUUUCGCGUACCAGGAGGUUUUCGGACUCGGUUGCGCGUAGGGUCGGUGCACCGUGUAGAGGGGCUAGGCGGGGAUGAGCGGGAAAACGGGCGGCGCGGCAACGCGAUUUAAAACACCUGGACACGUCCGGCGAUAGACCGAAUACGGUGCCGCUACGGUCGACCGUUCGGUUACCAGACGGACUCCGAUCGCGACGAAAUUUGACAGGCGACCUACCUAUAUUAAAAUAAGACCGCAGUCAAAUAUCAACCCAAUCAGAGAAAGUUUUAUGCACACUUUUAAAACAGGGUUUUGACGAUGCCGCGGGCGCGUGCGUGUGUGGUCGGGCUCCGAACGGACAACAACGAGAACCGGCAACUAACACGGAUGCAAGUUGAAAACUGGCGGCAACGAAGAUGCCGAUGCAAUGCAGAUGAUGCGCAUGAUGCGAUGAUGAUGCGACAAAAGAAAAAUAGACACAUGACGAAAACGGAAAGAAAAAGGGGAAUCUUCUGGAACGUCAGUCUUGGACUGUCACAGCCCAAGAGAUCCACUACUACUGCACGGUACUCGCUGCAGAGACUACACCACACACACAAACACAUACUGGCGAACUCCUCUACGAAUAGAGCGCGCAGAUCAUCGGCCGGAGCUACUGCUACGAGGAACCUAACCGAAUGAAGGAGGGAGGAAGGAAGGGGGCGAUGCUCCUCACCUUGGGUAAGGAAGGAGAGGAACCGAGCUGCGGAGGAAGAUGCACUGGAGGGAAGAAGUCGAUCUGCUGCUGCCCAACCGAUGAAGGGGAAGAAGAGCUCCUGGUCCGAGGCGAUGACGAGGUCCUAGCCGUCGUUGAGGUCGCUCCUCGACCUUAGCGAUGGAGGGAAUGGAGUGUAGGGCGAUCUCCCGUUCCCCUGGACAUGGCCGCCGGCGCCGGAGACGACGGGAGGCAGGGGAUUGACGCUGCACUCUUCUCUGCUGCUCUGUCUACCGAGAGCUUGCCUGAUGAGGAAGGAAGAAGGAGAGAGAGAUGGCGGCGCUGGAGGGAAGGAGAGGGAACCCUAGCUGCCAGAGGGCUCGCCUGCGGCUUAAAUCACCUGGGGGAGGGGAGCUCGAGCCGCAGGAUUGAGGGGAAUACGAUCGAGAGGCUGAGCUCUCAUCGUACCAUGGCUGACGUCGACAGGAGGAAGGAGAGGGACGCCGAGCGGGCUGCCGCUGUGAUACAGAGGAGAGAUGGGCCUCUCUGGUGGGAGGAAGCCCACCAGAGCGUUACUUAAAAGGAAAAGGUCAUUCCCUGCAAAUUCCUAUUAAAUAAAAUCAUAGAGAAAAGGAAAAGGCCACAGAGAAAACCAAAGAAGAUAAAAUAAAAGCAAAAAUGUUCCUGGGCCUGAAAAAUAGUAAGCUAAUUAAACAAAAUACUAAAAGGAUUUUUUGGGGCAUAUAAAAUAAAUAGAAAACAGCAUAUUAGUGGUUGUUUUGUGUUUAUUCAUGCACCUUUAGAACACCUAACAAAACACCAAAUCUUGCACACCAUAAUAUCCACAAUAUUUACUAAACAGAGGACAUUUUAAAACCAGGUAAAUAGCAAGUGGAAUUUUGAACUUGGGAAUAAAAGAGAGAAAAGGUUUGAGACUAACAAGGGGGUUUGAAAAUAAUGCCAAGCACCACACUCCACUACUUCACACCAGAUCAUCACAUGUGCAUCAACACAUGAAAUCACAAGUCUCCACACUAAGACAUGGCAAGGUAUAGAUGCAAGCAAAACAAGGCAUGGUAAGAAUGGUAUUGCAUGGAUGCAUGAAUGCAAAAGAAGAAAUACAAGGUGACACAUGAAUUCAUACAUGCAUAGAUAGCUCUCAUGACAAUGUCAAGGUGGUCCCGCAUGGAAGGUUACAAAAAGGGAAAGCUUUACACUUGGGGCACUACAGGUUAUGUCUGGCGUAAGUAGGUGUUCAGGAUCAUUCAUUUGAUCAUUAGUAGUUCACGUCCGUUAUGCGUGGAUCAUCCCCCUCUUUAUUCUUGUACUCGUAAGUUAGCCACCUCAUAUAAUGCUUAGUCGCUGCCGCAACCUCGCCACUUAAUCAUACCUCACACAUUAAGCUUUGCUAGUCUUGAUACCUUUGGAAAUGAGAUUGCUGAGUCCCUUACUACAUUAAGGUACAGGUAAAGGUUACUUGAUGCGAGCGCGUUGAUUAUUCAUUUGGAGUUGCUUCUUCUUCUUCUUCUUCAUCGAUCUAGGAUGGGUGCCAGGCCGGCAGCCUGGGAUAGCAAGGAUGGACGUCGUUCUUAUUUUCUUGUUUGUUUUCGUCCGUAGUCGGACCCUGCUCUUCUUCAUGAUGAUUAUGUAUUGUACUGAUGUGACUCUGAUGUAGCUUGUGGCGAGUGUAAGCCAAUACCACAUAUCUCAUCUUUUCAGUACAUGUACUUGUAACGAUAUCCAUUCUUGCGAAACGAUGAGAUACACUUCUAUCCCUGACGAGGCCCUCGUACCAAAUUGAGGAUAGAAUCGCAUCUUGGGCGUUACAGACUCUUUGUCGUCUGUCUGGACCAUCUUUGUCCUCAGCUAUUUCUUUGUCGUGUGUCUGGUCCAUCUUUGCCGUCCGCCAGCAGACGACAAAGAAUGCAAUGACGGCAAAGAGCAUCUUUCCAUUAACCAGUUCUUUGUCGUCUAUUUUUCGGCAGCUAAUGGCAAAGUCUAUUUGCCAUCAACCAGCAGGCGACAAUGAUCAGACGUAUGACAAUUUCAUGAUUCCUAUAGUGUCACGGGGUAGAAGGCCUUCUUCUUCAAGCUCUUCCAACGUGGACAAUUCCAAACAAAGCUCUUCCCUCCUCCGUUUUCAUGGCCAUAUUUGUUGGACCCCCGUCCUUUGAAGUAGGCUUUGAAUCUUUUCAAUUUGAUAUUGAGUGCAUCAAUAGGGUCUAUAGCAUUCACCUUUCUACUCCAAAUACCCCUAGACAGUCCGAGGAAUUCCUCAUUUUUAAGCGAGGAAAGUUCGAAGCGAAAGUCACGAGCUUUAGGGGCUUCCCUCUCAUCAUCCCCCGAGGAAACAGUCAAAGGGUUAUGAUCAGAAAUCUCUUUGACAAAUUCUCUAACAGAUACUAAGGGGAAUAAUUUUUCCCAGUCAUCAUUAAUAAGGAUACGAUCUAAUUUUUCAAGAGUGGGAUGAGCCUGUGUGACAGCCCGGUGCCGACAUUCCAGAAGAUUCCCCUCUCUUUCCGUUUUCUCAUGUGAUUUAUUUAAUUUGUCGCGUCAUCAUCGCAUCAUGCGCAUCAUCAGCAUUGCAUCGGUGUCUCCGUUGCCGCCCGUUUUCAAACUUGCAUGCGUUGAUAGUUGCCGGUUUGCGUCGCUGUCCGUUCUGAGCCCGACCGCACACGCACACACCCGCGGCACCGUCGAAACCCUGUUUUAAAAGUGUGUUUAAAACUCUCUCUGAUCAAGGUGAGACUUGGCACGUGGUCGCGAUUAGAUGUAGCUAGGCCGCCUGUCGAAUUUCGUCGCGAUCGGAGACCGACUGGUACCCGAACGGUCGACCGUAGCGGCACCGUCUUCGGUUAUUCGUCGGACGUCUGCCGGUGUUUUAGAAGUCGACGCUGCGCCGCACCACUUCCUCUCAUCUUAGCCAACGCCACUCUACACACCUAACCCCAUCCCGCCUCCCCGAACGGACCGCACGAACGUGUCCGGAGGGUCGAAAAACCCCCAGAUACCCUGCACCCUAGCCCAUUUCCCUAUUUAAGCACCCCUCCCUGCCUAUUUUGGGCGCCCCCCUAAUCCUCCUCGGAAUCCGCGCCCCACCUAGACCUAACCCUAGCCGCGCCGCCCCACUCCCUCUCCUCUGCCAGCGCCGCCGGGCCCGCGAAGCCCAUCGCAGGCCCGCCCGAGCCCGAAUCGCGCCGCCGCCGCGCAAGCCCAGCAGCUCCCCGUUGGCGCCGAGCUUCCCCUGGCCGAGGUGCUCCUCCCGAGCCCCGACCCCGCUACCUCCAUCGCCGGCUCCUUCCCCGCCGAACGUCGGAGCUCCGGCCACUGGGUGGACGCCGCUGGCUGCUGCCCCUCGCCGGCUGGAACCACCGGAGCCUCCGCCGACCCCCCUGCCUCGCCGUGCAGCCCGAGCAAGCUCGCCGUGCGCCGCCGCCGCAUCCCCAUCGUCCGGCCGCCGCCUUGCGCCGCCGCCGCCGGGAUCAGUCUCGCCUCGACCGGAUCCGGCGGAUCCCGCGGUCUCCCCGCCGCCUGCGCCCCUGUGCCAGGCCGACGAGCCGCCGCGGCCAGCUCUGGCCGCCGGUUGCCCGUGCACGACGGGAGGCAACCGCCUUGUCCGAGCGUGGGCCACGUGGGCCGCCUCGCCCCUCCCAGGCCUGCCAGGCCGCUCGCCCCGGCCCUUCUCCAACCGGCCCGCAGGCCUCUACUCCAACCGCCGGCCCAGGUGGGCUUUCCCCGAAGGUGAGCUAACCCCCUGCCCCCCUAUUCCACGCCUAGGCGGCAUGCAUCUAAGUUGCGCCCCAGCUCGGGCCGUUAGAGAUUAGGUUUUUCUUUUUCUUUGUCGGUUUAGUUAAUUUCAGGUUUUAGCUUUUUAUUUAAACCCCCGUAACUUUUAAACCGUAAGCCGGUUCGGGACGUGUUAUAUAUCGUUUUGGGGUGGCUUCGCGAGUAGAACACGAUUAUCCAACGUGCAUAUUUGUUUAACGCCGUUUAGAGUGCCUACUGUGUAGAUUUACGUGUUGUCUCCAUAAGUAGGUGCCCGCAUUUAUUUUCCUCGCGUGUUUGUUUUGCUCGUACGUCGUAGAUAAAAUGUCCAUGCUCUAGGGAGCUAUUUUCCUUGUAGUUUAGAGCGGUCAAGUGUAUUUUUGCGUGUAGGGUUUGCCCGUAAGAUUAUUUUUCGUGUCUAGGUUUAAUUCUCCCGCAUUAUUGUGUAGCGUUUUUUUGUGUUGCAAACCCCACAUAUUAUAUAUGUUUCCGGGGUAGAAAAAUCCCAUGGAUUUUUCUGUGCAAUUAGUUUUAGCUUUUGGGGAAGUUAGUUUGCGAGAUAUUUUGCCGUGUUGCCCUUUUGUUUAAUUCGUAGGAUUUAUUCCGUGCGUCGUUUGAAAUAGUUGUCAACUAGAGAGUUGAUCUCGGAUGUUUUGAUUAGCCCCUGGUAUUUUUGGUUGCAUUAGAAAUGCAUGUUUAGGUGUUGUUUGCUAGCUCCCAAGUUGCUAGAAAUAGUCCUGUUUUAGAGGAGCUGAGAUACUUCUAAGUCUGAAAACUGUUAUAUUUUGUUGUUGUCUUGUCUUGCUUGCAUCUUGAGAUCUGUAGCUCUUAUGAGGUUGGUCCAAUGGAGUUAAUUGUACCCCUUGUGUUUCUUUAGCAUGCUGUGAAGUUUCAUGCCAUUUGGAGUCCUGUAGCUAUAGGUUUUGCUGCUAUCAAUAUUUCUUCAGGCUGAAAAUUACACUUUCAUGAGGUGUAAUUUUCACUAAGUCUGAAAUAGUGUGUGAGAUGCCAUUUUGUGCCUUCUUUUCCUAGUGCUCCUUGCUGCCAUGCUAGUAGUUGUUAGUUGUUUGUAGUAGAGCUUCUUACCCUCUUCCGUGCCAUGCCUUGCUUGAGCAUACCGGAGUUGUGUAGCCGUAGUUGUGGGGCGUAGAAAGUGCUAUGUGGCUGUUUUUGGCAGAUUGUAGUGUUUUCUUGUUUUGCUCGUAGUUUUCGAACCGUAGCUCCGUUUUGAUCGUGUCCUACAUGAAACUUGCUUAGAAUCUCGUGUAGUUUCAUUUUUCUCUUGCUGUUUGUAUGCCUUGAAGUGCUCGUCGCCGCCGUUGCACACAUUUUGCAUUCAUGUCAUCAUAUCUUGCGGUGCUUGUAUCUGUUGAACCGUAGCUCCGUUGGAGAUGUUUUCUAUGUGUAGAUUGCUUGCCUUGACGCGUAGAAUCACGUGAACCUAUUUGUUUUGCUAUUUAACAACUAAUUAAAUGCAUUAGAUCAGAUCUGGACAGAAUUUUAAAUUAACAUGUGAGGUCGUUUUGGAGGUGCUAUAUGUCAUUUCCGACCUCACUUAAAAUUCCUAGAUAGGUAGUUUAAUCUCCGCUUCACCUCUUGCAUGUUUGACAACAUCAAUAUUGCCGUGUAGAUAACCAGGAGUGAACUAAAUAAUUAACGUGGAGUUUCGUCAAUAUGCAACUCGUGCAUAUUGAACUUCACUUAAUGUGUAGUGUUUGAUUGUGUGAUUUGACAUGCCGUGACUUGCAUGUAUUCAGUAGCUCAUGCAUCAUAUGUGUUGUGCAUCGUGUGGUGAAUUUCUUGUGUUGAUUCUUGUUUCCGGUUUCCUUCGUCUCGAUAGAGUUCCGCAAGCGUGUCGGAAAGUGAGGACCCGUUCGACUACGUCGGUUCGUCUGCUUCACGGAGUCAUUCUUCUUCUCAGCGGGAUCUCAGGCAAGAUGAUCAUUUCCCCAGAUACCAUUACUAUCAUUGCCAUGCUAGUUUAUCGCUUCUAUCGUUUAUGUCGCGUUGCCUACCACAUGUUGAAUAUCAGCCUCUCAACAAUGCCAUGAUUACCUUCAACCUGUUCGACCUAGCAAACCACUGAUUGGCUAUGUUACCGCUUGCUUAAUCCUGUUGAUAGCGUUGCUAGUUGCAGGUGCAAUGCUUCCAUGCAAAGCAUGGGUUCCUUAUUAUAUCACCAUAUUAAUGCUAUUUAAUUUAAUGCACCUAUAUAUUUGGUAAAAAGGUGGAAGGCUCGGCCUUUCUAGCCUGGUGUUUUGUUCCACCUUUGCCCCCUUAGUUUCCGGCUACCGGUGUUAUGUUCCAUAUUUGAGCGCUCCUAACACGAUCGGGGUCGUUAUGGGGACCCCCUUGAUAAUUCGUUUUAAAUUAAAGCUGGUCUGGCAAGGCCCAACAUUGGUACUACAUUUGCCUAAUCACCUAAUAAAAAUUGCAUAGAGACCCGCCGGCACCCGCGGACUAUUUUAAUCAACCCCCGGGCCAGUGCUCCUCAUGAGUGUUGGUCCAAAACAGAGCAGCUUAUUAACGCUACCCGGGGCAACUCGGCGUUUGGCGUGGUAACCAUCGCUCAUCCGUCGUGUCCUGAGAACGAGGUACGCGACUCCUAUCGGGAUCGUCGACACGUCGGGCGGCCUUGCUGGAUUAGUUUUACCUUUGACGAGAUAUCUUGUGCAUCGGGAUUCCGGUGAUGCUUUGGGUAAUCUCAGAGUUGAGGUUUUCCACUAGGGAAUCCGACGAGAUCGCGAGCUUCGUGAUUGAGGAUUUCUAUGCNUUAAAAUAUGCCAACCGUGUGCGUAACCGUGACUGUCUCUUUCGUGAGUUCCUUCUCCGAUCGAGGACACGGUGGGGUUAUGUCUGACGUAGGUAGGUGUUCAGGGUCAUACAUUUGAUCACCAGUAGUUGACGUCCGUUAUGCGUAGAUCUUCCCCCUCUUAUUUCUGGUACUCGUAAGUUAGCCACCAAAUACAUGUUUAGCCGCUGCCGCUACCUCACCACUUAACCUUGCCUCACCCAUUAAGCUUUGGUAGUCUUGAUACCUUUGGAAAUGAGAUUGCUGAGUCCCCUGUGGCUCACAGAUUACUACAACACCAGUUGCAGGUACAGGUAAAGGUUACAUGACACGAGCGCGUUGAUUGUUCAUCUGGAGUUGCUUCUUCUUCUUCUUCUNNNUCUUCUUCUUCUUCUUCGAUCUAGGAUGGGUUCCAGGCCGGCAGCCUGGGAUAGCAAGGAUGGACGUCGUUCUUCUUUUGUUGUUUAUUUUCGUCCGUAGUCGGACCCUGCUCUUACUCUUGAUGUUUAUGUAAUGUACUGAUGUGACUCUGAUGUAGCUUGUGGCGAGUGUAAGCCAACUCUUUAUAUAUCUCUCCUUUUCAGUACAUGUACUUGUAACGAUAUCCAUUCUUGCGACACGACGAGAUGCGCUUCUAUCCCUGACGAGGCCCCCAUGCCAAAUUGAGGAUAGGGUCGCAUCUUGGGCGUGACAGCCUGGUUAUUAGUCCACGUGAAUUUGCCUCCAUUGAUGCGUACAUCUCUCAGACCCAAUGAAUUAAUAACAGAGUUAGAUGUCUCAGAGGGUUUGUGAAAAUGGACUUUUUAAUUUUCUCUCUACUGUGUCUCAGAAUAUUGAAAUUCCCCGAUUAUAUAGGGACCGUUUACGCUGCUACAAAAGAAGACCAUCUCAACAAGGAAUUCCUCCUUGAACUCCUCGUGAGGAGAACCAUAAGCAACUAGGAGAUUCCAGUCAAUUUUUUUUGUUAAUAUCAUGAACAUAAAUCAACAGGAUGUAUUUUCCUUUUUUAGCUAUCUUUCUUAAGACCACAUAGGAUCCCACCAGACCUGUCAUUAGAAGGAGUCCACUCCCAUUUGAAAAGGUCAAAGGGAUCAAUCGUAGUCAUGGUAGAUGUAUGCGUCUAACGUUGGAUGUCCUUCUUUCAUAAAUAUAAGUUGAGUAAAUGUAUGCGACUAGCGUUGGAUGUUAUUUUUCUAUAAAUAUGUCCGCGGAUUGAUCCUUUGUUUGCAGACGGAUGCAGAAGAAAAAUUUACAGGUUGAUAGUUGAAGAUGCCUGUUCUCGAGCCAAUAUCAACAACCAUAUUCUUCCGGCGAUGUGCUUUCAGUGAAAGAAGACGUUGAUGAGACGUUUCCAUCGACAACGAAGGCGUUAGUUGCGACUUCGUUAAUCUCAAGAUGAUGUGCGUGCUUAGUAUCUCAUAGAUGCUCAUAGGAUAGGGUGUGCGUGCGUGCGUUUAUAGGAAUGAUUGUACGUUCGUGUAUGUGAGCGACUUUGAUUGUACUCUGUUUAAAAGAAGGAACUAUUGAAAAAUUAAAAAUUAAAAUAACGAGCACAUUUUUGAUUUCUUAAACACGGCAGCUGAUUUGGCGGAUCACGUUUAGGACCAGGACAACGAACCACCCCCACCGCACCCGCCUGUUCCACGUUCUCAUCCACGAGCUGGUCGUGGCUCGCGCUCGCGGACACGGGCAGCCACACACGGCACCGAGCAGCCCCCAGAAAGUUCCCGGCUCCGUCGGUCCCAACCCUCGCUGCCGACCUGCCACUGCCAGCCGCCCACCCGAACCAAACCAAACCAAGUCCGGAUCCAGCCCGAUCCACUCGAUUUUGAUUUGAUUUCCGCCGCCCACCCGUCCCCGCAAAACCACCGCCAGCGCGGCGAAGAAGCCUUGUCCGGUAAGGAAUCGGUUGGCGGGCGCCAGGCCGGCCACCGCCUCUGCUCCCGGCUAUAAAAGGCACCCAGGUGCGCCCUCUCCACCCCGCGCGCUGGCCUCCUCCCUCUCUGUUGGAGCUCUCGUUCGGGCCGGCCGCGCCGCCGGUGUCGAUCGCCUGAGUCGCCUCCUCGCGUCUCCGCGGCUGUUCCCUUCCCCUUAUCCAUCAAAUCUCGAUUCGUUUCGAAUCGCGUUUGAUUUAUCUCCUCGCCGGCUUUGUUUCCUGUGCGCUCGCAGGGGAUCCGGCCCGCCUCCGCGCGACCUCGGGGAGCGAUCCAUCGAUCGAUCGGGGGAUUCCGUCGAUUUUGCUCUGAUUUCUGUGUGAUGAGAGGGCCGAAGCAAGGUCAGUUUCCCGUGCUCGAUCGGUCAGAUCGGUUCCUUGGUUCCGUCACCUGCCUGCCUUCCUCGGCGAUUUCAGAUUUGGAUCCAAUUGGACGGCUCUCGCCCGUGCGGCCUGCCCCCGAUCCAGCCCUCUCGUCACGGGUUCCGUCGUCAUCGGUUAAUAAUACGAGGUGGAUUCGACGCCCUCGUGGAUUCUAAAUUUUACCGGCUGAUCCCGCUUUUGGUAUGUGUUUGUGCUCUCAUCCUAGAUGCAGCAGAAAGCAGAGGCAAGGGACGCUCGGUAGUUCGCAAGAGAUGAUAGAUAAAAAGGGUGGAGGUUUGGUUUCUGUUAUGGUUAUUUUGAUUCAUUGGUCACGGUUCAGCGGUUACUCUGAUUGAUAUGGACAGAUGAUCAAGCUUUGGAUCUCACCAGUCUGCAAUUGGAUGAUAAUAAUAAUUCAACCCCUCCCGAUUUAUUUCUUUGGUUUGCACAGCACAGUUAAUCUACAACUCAUCUGAUUUAGAUUCGUUCCUUGAUGGUUCUCCAGAAAAUGGGAUGACACGGCUUAGCGGGACCACCUAUCUUCGGCUGAUUUGUGUUUGGAUGAACAUUACUACUAUCUCUAUUUAAUCCCUUCCUCUCCACCGUUUAAUUUUAGCCUCCAACAAUUCUGAUUUCGAUUUGGUCUUCAUUGUCCAGAAAUUGGGAUUACUCGGCUGAGUGCGAGCUGACUUAUUAUCUUCUUGUGUUUGGAUGAUCAACUCUCUCUCUCUCUCUCUCUCUCUCUCUCUUCAAUUUGUUCGCCUCCACAGUUCAAUUAUUCUCUCAACAAUUCUGAUUUGGAAUGGUUGCUGGUUGUCCAGAAACUGGAAUUACACGGGCCUAGCGGGUGCUCCUAUGUUGCCUCAGCAUGACGCUGCUUCUUUCCUGGCUUGAACUUUCUGGACCUUUCUUACUCAAUAUUAAUUAGAACUCAGCAGACAUUAGUUUUCCCUGUCUUGGUCAUUCUCAGCUCUUGCAGAUAGUGUCUUGCAAAGGAUAUUUAAUUGGAACCGGUGUUGUCUACCUGACCUUCCCAGUCGAGACAGGCUUACUUAUUCUCUGCCUCCUCGUCGUUUUAUCCUAGUUUUCCCUAACUGAAGCAUUUAUGGAAACGUAUCUUGCUUGUUGCAGGUCGUAGUUUACAAACUCAAGGCCACCAACCUGAUGCUGACUUUGCAGUUCUUCUAAAACCACUAUCUACUCAAUUCCUUAACUGAGAUAAUGUUAAUAAGAUCUCUUACUAGGCAGUAUUUUAAAUUCAGAUUUAGCUGCGAAAGGUGCAAGAAUGAAGCUUCAAACUAGUGGCAUAUCCUACAACCGGAAAAAUAAUCAUCUUCUACCCUCCUAUUUUUAUUUCAUUCAGCUACAUUUUCUUGUCUUUGAUUUAUGCUUAUGCCCUCCAUGUCGUUGCAGAUCUGUUUUGCCUAAGACAAUGCUUGUAGCGAGUCAAAAAUCUUCUGGUUUGCUAUCUAUCUCUUUGUUGUUUGAUUGGUUAUAUCUGUACUCUUGAUCCCUGUGUUGGUCUUCCUAUACGUGUGUGGGUUGCACUGCAGGAUAUAUUUAGGAAGUCUGCCUACAUAUGCAAACCUUUGCUGUGUGCGUGUCGCGGUGUCAGGUCAGUGACUGUUGGUUCAUUUGUGUUCCCAUGCUGGAUGGGAUCUGAUGUGGAGAUCACUAUGAUGGUGUUUGUUGAAAGGGAUUUUAGGUAGGUCAGAUUACAUGCCUAUUGCCCGUGUGGUCUUCUAGUUCUCAUCACGAGUUCCAUCAUAAUCAAUAUGAGGUGGAUUAGAGGUAUUGGUGGAUUCUUAUUGUAGCAGUUGAUCUCGCUUUUGGUCUGUGUUUGUGCUCCUUCAGAUGCAGCAGAAGCAGGAAGUGGUUCCGCAUAGAUGAACCGAAAGGAUGGAGGCUUGGUUUCUGAUAUGGUCAGAGGUCUCCAGGGAUGAUGUUUGGUGUUGGACUGAAGUUUUGGAUCGCACAUCAACCUGGAACUUGAGAUCCGUGUUCAGAUGAUCCCUCUGAAUUUCACUUCAUUUGAUUUGGAUUCGUUCAGUUUUAGCCUCCAACUUCAAUUUGGAUUCAUUGCUCAUUGUCACGAAUUGGGAUUACCCGCUUAGUGGGAGCGGCGUACUAUCUUCUUGCUGACCGACCUGUGUUUGGAUGAUCAAAAUUCUGUUCAAUUUGUUCUUCUCCACGGUUCAAUUAUUCUCCCAACAAUUCUGAUUUGGAAUGUUUGCUGGUUAUCCAGAAUCUGGAAUUACAUGGGCCUAGCGGGUGCUCUUAUUUUGGCUCAGCAUGGCGGUUCUUUUUCUGUGGCUAAACUUUUUGGACCUUCCUUAUUCAAUACAGUAUUAAUUAGAACUCAGCAGACAUUAGUUUUCCCUGCCUUAGUCAUUUUCGCUCUUGCAGAUAGUGUCUUGCAAGGGAUAUAGUUGGAAGCCAUGUGUCUACCUGACCUUCACAGUGGAGACAGACUUACUCAGCCUUUACCUCCUCAUUCGUUUGUACCUACUUUCCUAAUCCUAGUUUUCUCAUGACUGAAACAUUUAUAGAAACGUAUCUUACUCGUUGCAGGUCGUAGUUUACGAACUCAAGUCCACCAACCUGAUAUUGAGUUUGCAGUUCUUCUAAAUCUACUAUCUUCUCAAUUCCUCGACUUAGAUAAUAAUAAUAAGAUAUCUUACUAGGUAAUAUCUUAAAUUCAGAUUUAACUGUAAAGGUGCAAUAAUGAAGCUUCAAAACUAGUGUCACAUCCUACAACCGGAAAAAACUUAAUCUCUUAUCCUCUUAUUUUUAUUUCAUUGAGCUACAUGUCUUCUCCGCCUUAGUCGGUAAUUCUCAGCUCUUGUAGAUACUGACUUUAAAAUGAUAUAACAGCAGUUUGGAACCGGUGUUGUUGUCCUCCGUCAACCAUAUCUGAACUUCCUAGCUGAGACAGGCUUACUUGUUCCCCAUCCAUCUUUGAUCCAUGCUUUAGCUAUUUAUAUAUAAAAGUAGCAUUUUCCCCUAACUGAAAAUUUAUAGAAAGGCCUCUUGCUCGUUGCAGGUUGUAGUUGAUGAACUCAAGUCCAACCUGAUGAUGAAUUUGCUUGCAGAUCUUCUAAAUCUAUGAGUAUUGUCUCAAUUCAUCAUAACUUUCAUGACCUACAUAUUAUCUUACUAGGUAAUAUUUUAUAAUACAGAUCCAUAUGCAACGGUGCACGAAUCUAAUGACAAUCCUGGCACAUCCUACAACCGAAAUAGACUCUUGAACUUUCUGGACCUUUCUUAUUUCAAUAUUAAUUAGACUCAGCAGACAUUAGUUUUCCCUGUCUUAGUUAUUCUCAGCUCUUGCAGAUAGUGUCUUGCAAAGGAUAUAUAAGUGGAACCUGUGUUGUCUACCUGACCUUCCCAGUCGAGACAGGCUUAUUUAUCCUCUACCUCCUCAUUGUUUCAUCCAGUUUUCCCCUAGCUGAAACAUUUAUAGAAAGGUUAUCUUGCUCGUUGCAGGUUGUAGUUUACGAACUCAAGGCCACAAACCUGAUGCUGAGUUUGCAGUUCUUCUAAAACCACUAUCUACUCAAUUCCUUAACUGAGAUAAUGUUAAUAAGAUCUCUUACCAGGCAAUAUUUUAAAUUCAGAUUUAGCUGCAGAAGGUGCAAGAAUGAAGCUUCAAACUAGUGGCAUAUCCUACAACAUGAGUACCAUUAUCCCUCGGUACAAGGUGCAUUCUCGUUGGUUCUCGUUGUUACAGCUGAUCUCUGCUUGUGGGGUAUGUGUUUGUUCUCCUUCAGAUGCCGGAGUGUGAUGGUUGCUGAGUGAUGAAUCAGAGGGUGGAGGUUUGUUUUACUGUUCAUGGUUAUUUGGAUUGGUUAUGGCUCAAUGCCUUGCAUGAUAUAAGAUAGCAUCUUGUGUGCUGAAGUUUUUGUUUUGGAUUGAAGUCGGAUUGGAUCAUUAACCAUGGAAUGGAGAUCAGAGAAUUUGCGAACUGAGUUUGGAUAAUUGAUCCUCAAUUUAGUUUCUUUGUUUGCACAGUCGAAUUUAGCUUACAACAUCUCUCAUAUGGAACUGUUGGUUCUCCAGCUAUUGGACUUAUGGGGCUUUCUGGAAGGUGCCUUGCUUUGACUGUUGGUUUACAUGGGGUUUCUUCUCUUGACUUCAUCUUUCCUGAUUUGCUUUGAACAUUGCACUUCCUAGACAUUGUUUUCUCUGGCCUUGGUAACUACAUGUCCUUCCAGAUAUUUACAUCGAUGAGAGAUAAUAUAGUUUGCUAUCUGGAACUGGUGUUUCCCUAACUGAUAGCAGAUAUUUACAUGGAUGAGAGAUAAUAUAGUUUGCUAUCUGGAACUGGUGUUUCCCUAACUGAUAUCUCCCAGCCAAGUAGGCUUAUCCUAUCCCCUCACUGUUUGAUGCAUCAUUUAGCUGUUCAUAGGCAGCUUCGUUUCCCCAAAGCAGAAGUUCAAACGGAGGUUUCUUGGUCAUUGCAGGUCCUAACUGACGAUUUAGGUCCAACCUGAUGAUGAGUAUGUUAGAAGAUAUUCUAAACCCUGCACCUUUCCAAUUCGUCGUAAUUUUUGAACAUAUAAUUUAUCUCAUGGAGACAAAAUUUGAACAUUCAGAUUGGAUUGGUGGAUGUAGAAGGUUCGAAGGUUGCUACAGGGCAUCAAUCUAGACGGGCCAUCCUACAACCGAAAAAACCCAGUGCUCUCUAUUUGAUCUCUUGAAGAAGCUUCUGUUGUCUUAGAUGCUUUGUGCUUGUAGCAUUGAUUGUGUUUUUUUGCUUCCGCCUUCUUGUGGUUGCAGAUUGUUUAGCCCAAGCUAUGCUGGUAGCCAUCAAAAUAUGUCGUAUUUUUGGUUUCUGAUCCUCUCCUGACUUCUAUAGUUGGGUAAUGUUGAUGGCUUGAUACGCAGAAAGAGGUUAGGGAUUAUUGCUAUAUAUACAAAAAAUAUGGAGAGUUGAAGCUUCUCGACUCGAAGCUUGAACAAACAGUUUGCCAUGGACACUACUACUCGUCAUGUCUUUGAUUAGUGUCAUUUCCACUGAAUAUGACUCCGAUGAUCCCGACUUAUUGGUAUGGAAUUGAUUUUCAGAAGUGAUGUUCUUACCAUUGGUCGUUCUCCAGUGGGAUCUGGACUACGAAUCUUCAAUGCAUCUUCUCGUUUUGCUGGGAGCUUCCUAUUUUAAUUUGACAACUUGUAAAAUAGUUGGGCUAAGUUUGAUGGUUUUACUGCUGAUUGUAUACUUUCAAGUAGCUUGUACAUAUGUCAGUUUGUUUCGUUCUGCAUUCGUCAUGGAUUUGAAGACACAAAGCCUCCACACAUCUUACGGUCCUCUAAUGGUUAAUUUGAUCUGGAUUAUGGAAUCUUCAAUUACAUAUUAUUGGUUUUCCCGGAGCUUCCUAGUUUUAAUUUAGUUAACUAGCAAAAAUACUAAUUUGAUGAUUCCUGCCAAUUGCACACUCUUAAAUCAAGCUUAUAAUAUACUAGAUUUUUAAGACACACAAGUAUCUGUUGACACAUCUUAUGGCUGAAGGACUCUAUUACGGGCUAAAAGUGUGAAAGCUUUCUCUGUGCCUACUGAUGAAGAUAUUCAAGAUUAAAGAUUUGAAUCACCUUGCCACAUUAGAGAAAUUAGUAGGUUCUAGAAUUUAUAGCUUUCCUUGUUUGUGCCCCUAUGUUUCUGUCUUACGAUCUUGUGCAAAUGUUGUGAAUAUUUAUUGCCUUGGUCAAUUCGUUUGUCGGGACAAUGCUGCCUUUGGUUGACGGUGUGGCUUGUAUGCUUAGCUGAAUAAUUGGUUGUAGUGUUUGCUGGUUUAUGCGUUUAGUAGUUUCGUAGUUUAACACUGCCUUUGCCGGUCCCAAGCCCGGAUGAGAAAAUGUGGAGGGAACUGCAUCGUUUCCACUAGAACUUGCAUGAUCUCUAAAUAUUUUAAUUUGAGUGGACAGGGAAUGAAGUGUGUAGAUGUUACAGAGUUACUGUCCUUAAUGUCCUAUAACAAGCACUGACUUGUAGCA
rnacentral:lncRNA from 1 species